rnacentral:lncRNA from 1 species
CUAUUUUUCAUGCAAUAUUCCUUUAAAUUCUUACUAAAAUGAGAGAUGGGUUCAAGUAAAUUUCUGACCUGGUCUUAUUUAGUAUAUUGGGACUGUAAUGCUGCACACACACACACACACACACAGGUGAAGCUCUUGUUUAGCAGCACAACCUUCACUCUGUUUUGGUGUCCUGACAAAAGGGAGACUUGGUGACGUCACUCACAGCUGUAAAACAUCCAGAGGUUCAGCAGGACCUUGGCCUCAGCCGGGUCCACAUGGGCUCUACGGUUCACAGCAAACUCAGACGCUUUCUCCUGCAGUUCCACCCAAAUGUUAUUGUCCGGGCCCUCUGCCCUCCUCAAUCAGACAUGCGUGAUUUAUCGCCUGGGCCGCUGGGCCUGACAGCAAAACACAAUGACAUGCACGCACACACACUUACACACUCAGACACACACACACACACAAUCAGAAGCAGAUGAAUCUCAUUUCAAAGACUACAGCUGCGUAUAAUUGGCCAUGCAAGGACAAAAUAGAGCAAUAUUCUCCCCCAAAAAUCAUAAUGCCUAAAAAUAAUUUAGGCAUGGUUUGGAAAUAAGUAGGCCUGUAUGUGCAGGGCUGCUUUAAAUGAUUCAAAAAUAGAGCAAGAGAGGGAGAGUGAAGGAGGGGAGAGAGGAGAGGAAAGGAGAGGCGGAAGGGUGCUAGGCCUUGCCUUGAAAUGGAGAGCCUGACUGGAAUACUAAUGCGUCUGAAUUUAUGCAUCUCCUCAGUCUGCAGCCAUGAGAGGGGGGUGGGGGAGACAGAGAGAAAGAGAGAGAGAGAGAGAGAGAGGGAGAGAGAGAAGAGAGGGGGAGCAGGGGAGUUAGAGGGGGGAGAAAAGGGUGUGAAUGUGGAGGUGAAAGGGGGCGGUUAUGUAGAAGAAGAGAAAAGUAAAACCAUGGCUGAUUGAUUCCAUCCAUCUAUUUUAGUUUGAAAUAAUCCCUGAUUUCUGGGGGGAGGAAAGAAAUAACCCCUGGAUGGAAGAGGAGCCAGCAGCCGAGCAAACAAGCAGAGCAAGCCAAGGUCCGGAGCAGCACUGCAGUAUCCUUGAGCCGUUUCCACCUCUUCUACCACGAUGUGGGGACACAAACCUCCCCCUCUGAAUAUUUCUGAUUUCUUAGAGUCUCCAGCAGCUAAGCUCAGCACAGAAAUAACUAACCAGUGGAAGAAUGAUUGACUUAGGAAAAUGUUUAAAGAAGAGUUAAAGAAAUAUAACAGGUGAAAGAUAAAAGCACAUUUCAGGGUUUUAAAUGAGGAACUUCAGGUAAUUAUUUUCCCAAAAUGCUCAGGUCAGGUGACUCGACUCUGCAUCAGCGGAUAAUUGAGCCUCUGAAUGGGAUCCUGAAUGAGAGCGGACUGAUCAUCAGACAGGACAGCAACAAUAGAGAAGCAGAGGAAGAAGAAGAGGAAGUGACUUGUGUUGAAGUUGUUUCCAGGAUGUGCUUGUUUGUUUACUGGCAAGGGAUAAUGGGACCGACUGACUCACACCUUUUCUUUUCAGAAGCAUCUCAUCUCAAACCCUCGACUCUCUUUGAAUUUGUUUUGUUUCAAAGACUUUUGUGAAAAGUUAAGAAGUUAAAGGUUAAAAAAAGCAGUUACCCAAUUCUUCCAAAUUGAUAUUAUUUCCAAAGCUUGUUAUUUUUCCUGCUCUUUAAAAGAAAGAUGAGGGUCAAUAAAGCAAGUAACACACAUUCAGAUUAGAGAGAUAAAACUAAACAGCAGGGCAGCUCCAGUUUUUUGGAGUACGGAAUAAAAGUUUGAGAGGCCCUGCUAGGUUUUUUUUUUUCAGCAAAACCAACACCGAAGAAGUUCACAGAGAGGACAGAGGACAUCACGAAUCUCUUAAAUUAGAAAGAAAGUGAGCAGAGGGCUGCAGACAGAGAACACAGACAGAAAUCAAACAGCAGCCCACAUGAGAGCGUUCAUACAUGGAAACAAUCAAUAUCAGCUGCCAGGAGCCUGCUGCUUCUACAACCACACAGACCUUAUCUGAUCAUUUUCUUAGAGUUUUUUUUAUUUUUAUAUUCUUUACAACCCUCACUCCCCUCUCAAGUUCAUGUUAAGUUAAUGAAUAUUUUUCACUCUCCUUUAUGUCAGUGUCAAAGUCUGAUCCUUGUUUUCAGGCUGCUGGUUGUGUUUUGUUGUAAAGUAGAGGUUUUAGCAUUUUCUUCAAGUGACCCCAAAAUUCAGCUGUGUGCUCUCUGUCAGCUUUCAUGACUUCAGCCAAAGACUUCAACAGUUUUCCCUAAUGUUUGGAACAUGUUGAGUCCAGAACCUUUAAAAAAAAGAGUCCAGUAAUUUACUCUAUGUGUUAACUGUUAGGUUUGUGCAGUUUUUUUACUCUGAUAUAUUGUUAAUAAUUUUACAGAAUAUAGUACUCUUUACACACCAACUUGUCAAACUGUUAAAUUUAAAAAUAAAUAAAUAAAUACAUGAAUAAAUGAAUACAUUUAAUCCGUUAACUUCAGCUUUUUCUAAACUGAGGGUCCUGGAUCUUCCUUCUCUUUCACGUACACAACCUCAGCAGAAACGCUCACACUGAUGGGAAUCCCAACUCUUUUUAGAGAUCCGAUUAAUUUGGCUCAGCAAGAACCAGCUCUUUACACUCCCAGUCUACUCCUCAUCACCUUUUUCUUGGACUUACAUUAGUCAGAUCUCAGAGUGGAGUGACACACACACGACUCCCCACCUUUGUGUAGUUGCUGUCUAUUACCACAGUGUUUAGUGUCGCCUCUACAGCUCAGUCAGGGAAGCUUAAAAUGCCAGUAUUCAGUUUGGGCGUGUCAUUUUCAAAAAGAAACUUGAGAAACAGGCAGAGGGGGAAAGAGGUUUCAGAAAAAUUAAUUUACAAAAUUGACUUUUUUUCAGAUUUAAUAAAUACCAAAUCAAAGCAAGUUUGUAAAUAAAUAAAUAAUAAUAAUAAUAAACAAGUUUUCUUAAUUGUUAAGAUACUUUGGGGAUAUAUGGCUCAUUUUUUUUUAAAUACUUAUAUACCCAAACAGACACCAGAUUUGUCUUUUAGGUCCUUAAAUGAACAAGUUUGUUCCUAAAAGAUUCACAAAAACACUUUAAACAAAAACACUUUAAACAAUAACACAGAUGUGACACAUCGGUGCAUGAAGGAUUUAGAGCCAUUGAUUUUUCCUUUUUAGAGCUCCCUGUGUUGAUUUAGCGCCCCCUGGCUAAGCAGUCUUUGCUGAUUUUGUUCUGUAUGUGUGUAAAAAUUUGUGUUUCUUGAUUAAAAACCCUGCUUUAUUUUUUACUGUAACGCUCAUUCAAAAAAAUGCUGUAAAAUGUCGACAAAGGCAGUCAAUCACUUGGUUUCAGAC